GAGAGAGAGAGAGCUUUUCUUUGACAUCUGUAUUCUAGGUGAUGUAGUGGUGUAAUAAUGUGUUGUAUUGUAGGUGAUGUAUUGGUGUAAUAAUGUGUUGUAUUGUAGAUAUGUAGUGGUGUAAUAAUGUGUUGUAUUCUAGAUAUGUAGUGGUGUAAUAAUGUGUUGUAUUCUAGGUGAUGUAGUGGUGUAAUAAUGUGAUGUAGUGGUGUAAUAAUGUGUUGUAUUGUAGGUGAUGUAGUGGUGUAAUAAUGUGUUGUAUUGUAUGUGAUGUAGUGGUGUAAUAAUGUGAUGUAUUGUAUGUGAUGUAGUGGUGUAAUAAUUUGUUGUAUUGUAUGUGAUGUAGUGGUGUAAUAAUGUGAUGUACUGUAGGUGAUGUAGUGGUGUAAUAAUGUGUUGUAUUGUAGGUGAUGUAGUGGUGUUGUAUUGUAGGUGAUGUAGUGGUGUAAUAAUGUGAUGUAUUGUAUGUGAUGUAGUGGUGUAAUAAUGUGUUGUAUUGUAGGUGAUGUAGUGGUGUUGUAUUGUAGGUGAUGUAGUGGUGUAAUAAUGUGUUGUAUAUGUGAUGUAGUGGUGUAAUAAUGUGCCUUAAGGCUCAGAACAUUCUUAGUCAAAGGUCAGGAAUUAACAGUGACCCAUUAAGCCAUGCAGAGACAUUCUCCAUCAGCAUGCCAGCUUUCCAUGUCAAAUUUGUCCUCAUUCAGUGCUGCCAGACAAAAAUGCAUCCAGUUACACGUUUUUUGAUGUUGUGGCUAUUGUAAUCGACUCUAAGGCAAGUGGGCUCAGACACUGAAAACGGUAUGUUUUUCCAGGCAAAGGUUCCUCUCUGGAUUGUAUAUAUACAGCUCUUGCGAUUAUUUUAGGGGAUGUGACAAAUGUAAAAAUGUCCUUAAGGUUUAACCAGACUUUUUUCUCUCUCAUUUAAUCAUUUGUAAUAAAAUCAUAGGAUAACGUGAAUUCAAAAUUCAGAUACGAUCGCCUAUGACCACUAGGGGGCAAUUCAUUUCAAUGUACCGUUGUCUCGACCACCUACCAGCUAGAUGGCGCUCACCUUACUGCUGUCCCCGACCCACUCAGCAACAAUGGUAUUAAUGCCGAUUUAGGUUCUCUGUUGUGUUCCUUUCCUCCAUGUUCUCAGUGGUCAGUACUUCUCAUCAAGGUAUCAAGGUCGUUGCAGUGAUG
ensembl:lncRNA